rnacentral:rRNA from 1 species
GACGAACGCUGGCGGCGUGCUUAACACAUGCAAGUCGAACGGAAAGGCCCUGCUUUUGUGGGGUGCUCGAGUGGCGAACGGGUGAGUAACACGUGAGUAACCUGCCCUUGACUUUGGGAUAACUUCAGGAAACUGGGGCUAAUACCGGAUAUGAGCUCCUGCUGCAUGGUGGGGGUUGGAAAGUUUCGGCGGUUGGGGAUGGACUCGCGGCUUAUCAGCUUGUUGGUGGGGUAGUGGCUUACCAAGGCUUUGACGGGUAGCCGGCCUGAGAGGGUGACCGGCCACAUGGGGAAUGAGAUACGGCCCAGACUCCUACGGGAGGAAGCAGUGGGGAAUAUUGCACAAUGGGCGGAAGCCUGAUGCAGCAACGCCGAGUGCGGGAUGACGGCCUUCGGGUUGUAAACCGCUUUCGCCUGUGACGAAGCGUGAGUGACGGUAAUGGGUAAAGAAGCACCGGCUAACUACGUG